rnacentral:rRNA from 1 species
ACGAACGCUGGCGGCGUGCUUCACACAUGCAAGUCGAACGGAAAGGCCCUGCUUGCAGGGUACUCGAGUGGCGAACGGGUGAGUAACACGUGGGUGAUCUGCCCUGCACUUCGGGAUAAGCCUGGGAAACUGGGUCUAAUACCGGAUAGGAGCCAUUUUUAGUGUGAUGGUUGGAAAGUUUUUUCGGUGUAGGAUGAGCUCGCGGCCUAUCAGCUUGUUGGUGGGGUAAUGGCCUACCAAGGCGGCGACGGGUAGCCGGCCUGAGAGGGUGGACGGCCACAUUGGGACUGAGAUACGGCCCAGACUCCUACGGGAGGCAGCAGUGGGGAAUAUUGCACAAUGGGCGCAAGCCUGAUGCAGCGACGCCGCGUGGGGGAUGACGGCCUUCGGGUUGUAAACUCCUUUCGCUAGGGACGAAGCUUUUUGUGACGGUACCUAGAGAAGAAGCACCGGCUAACUACGUG